AUGCAACAUCACUCAAAUGAUACUAUUGAAGCUCUUAAUCAGAAAAAGAACAAUUCUUGCGGUACAGUUAAACAGUGUCGUUCUGUCAAGGAAGCCAGGGAUAUGGGUACGGGAAACUCUAUAGUUUUUCCAUCUAAAAAUAAAGAAGAAAGCAAGCAUAUUGUCAAAAAUGUACCUACUGGUGAUGAUCCUCCACUAUCUCAAUAG